AAUCACGCUGGCGGCGCGCCUAACACAUGCAAGUCGAACGAGAAAGCAGGGGCAACUCUGUGAGUAAAGUGGCGUACGGGUGAGUAACACGUGGAUCAUCUACCUCUUUGUGGGGGAUAACCCUGGGAAACCGGAGCUAAUACCGCAUAAGUCCGAGAGGAGAAAGCAGCAAUGCGCAGAGAGAGGAGUCCGCGGCCGAUUAGUUAGUUGGCAGGGUAAAGGCCUACCAAGACUGAGAUCGGUAGCCGGCCUGAGAGGGCACACGGCCACACUGGCACUGAAACACGGGCCAGACUCCUACGGGAGGCAGCAGUGGGGAAUCUUGCACAAUGGGGGCAACCCUGAUGCAGCGACGCCGCGUGAGCGAUGAAGCCCUUCGGGGUGUAAAGCUCUUUCGGCAGGGAAGAUUAUGACGGUACCUGCAGAAGCAGCUGCGGCUAACUACGUGCCAGCAGCCGCGGUAAUACGUAGGCAGCAAGCGUUGUUCGGAGUUACUGGGCGUAAAGGGUGUGUAGGCGGUUCUCUAAGUUUGGUGUGAAAUCUCCCGGCUCAACUGGGAGGGUGCGCCGAAAACUGGGGGGCUAGAGUACUGGAUGGGAGAGUGGAAUUCCUGGUGUAGCGGUGAAAUGCGUAGAUAUCAGGAGGAACACCUGUGGUGUAGACGGCUCUCUGGACAGUAACUGACGCUGAGACACGAAAGCGUGGGUAGCAAACAGGAUUAGAUACCCUGGUAGUCCACGCCCUAAACGAUGCGUGCUAGGUGUGGGCGGUGUCGACUCCGUCCGUGCCGAAGCUAACGCAUUAAGCACCCCGCCUGGGGAGUACGGCCGCAAGGCUAAAACUCAAAGGAAUUGACGGGGGCCCGCACAAGCAGCGGAGCAUGUGGUUCAAUUCGACGCAACGCGAAGAACCUUACCAGCGUUUGACAUGGUAGGACGGUUUCCAGAGAUGGAUUCCUUCCCUUACGGGACCUACACACAGGUGCUGCAUGGCUGUCGUCAGCUCGUGUCGUGAGAUGUUGGGUUAAGUCCCGCAACGAGCGCAACCCUCGUCUUUAGUUGCUACCAUUUAGUUGGGCACUCUAAAGAAACUGCCGGUGAUAAGCCGGAGGAAGGUGGGGAUGACGUCAAGUCCUCAUGGCCCUUACGCGCUGGGCUACACACGUGCUACAAUGGCGGUGACAGUGGGCAGCAAACUCGCGAGAGUGAGCAAAUCCCAAAAAACCGUCUCAGUUCGGAUUGUUCUCUGCAACUCGAGAGCAUGAAGGCGGAAUCGCUAGUAAUCGCGGAUCAGCAUGCCGCGGUGAAUACGUUCCCAGG
rnacentral:rRNA from 1 species